rnacentral:rRNA from 1 species
AUACAGAGGCCAAGAGCGUUGUUCGGAUUUACUGGGCGUAAAGGGCGCGUAGGCGGCAAGGCGUGUCAAGUGUGAAAUCUCCGGGCCCAACCCGGAAAGUGCGCUUGAAACUACCACGCUUUGAGUCCGGGAGGGGGAAUCGGAAUACAGGGUGUAGCGGUGAAAUGCGUUGAUAUCCUGUAGAACACCGGAGGCGAAGGCGGAUUCCUUGAACGGUACUGACGCUGAGGCGCGGAAGUCGGGGGAGCAAACAGGAUUAGAUACCCUGGUAGUCCCGACCUUAAACGGUGCGCACUCGGGGUGGGGCCAUUUCACCGGCCCCGUCCCCAAGCUAACGCGAUAAGUGCGCCGCCUGGGGAGUACGGCCGCAAGGCUAAAACUCAAAGGAAUUGACGGGG